rnacentral:misc_RNA from 1 species
UCCGGCUUACGCCGGCGGUUUCUCGUGAGUCCCCAGCAUUACCUGAUGGUAACACGAGAUGAGGGUUGCGCUCGUUGCUGGACUUAACCAAACACCUCACGGCACGAGCUGACGACAGCCAUGCAACAGGUGUCUUCAGGUUAGGCUUGUGGCCUAAGGGCCCUAUUUCUAGAGCUUGCCAUCGAUGUCAAGUCUGGGUAAGGUUCUUCGGUUAGUAUCGAAUUAAUCCACAUGCUCCACCGCUUGUGCGGGUCCCCGUCAAUUCAUUUGAGUUUCAACCUUGCGGCCGUAGUCCCCAGGCGGGAUACUUAUUGCGUUAGCUGCGACACCGGGGGGGUCGAUACCUCCGACGUCUAGUAUCCAUCGUUUAGGGCGUGGACUAC